UGGGGGGUGAGGGGAGGGGUGUCAGCUGUCACCUCACAGUGACUGUAAGUGGCAGCAAAGGGCUGGGUGUCACCUGCCAUUCCCAUCACAAGCCAGGGCUGAGAGAGCACGGAUUGCCCUCACUAUCGUGCCCACGUCGCUGCCAGACACUGUCAGCAGACACUGGGCUGGCAAGAAACCAGGCUGGACUUGCCACAAAAAGGGGUAGAGAGCUGUCAGGUUUGGGGCCAGGAGCUGUUCCUGCUGUAUUAUUAUUGGCAGCCCCUGUUAUAAGGAAAAACAACAAAAUUAAGAAUAGAUGUAAAGAGCUACGUGGUUUUUUCUUUGUUCAGCUGAGCUGUCAAGAAUAAAUCACUGGGUAUUUUUGCAAACGCUUGGCGAGGCUGGGGAAAUCUGCUGGGAGCCGGACAGCUCAGGUCAGGGCUGUCCUGCCAAGAGAUGAUUACAGCCCGUCCUGGGGACAGAGGAGCGGGGAACGGGGCCAAGAGGUGUCUCAAGUCCAGGAGUAAGAUUACAGGCUGCGGGGUCAGCAAAACCCUCCCAUGCUCUGGGCGGCACCUGAACCCUUUCCAGAAAGGAAACCACCCCGAGCACUGCUGCGCCUGGCAAAGGGCCUUUGGUGGGGGGCAGGGGGCCUUCAGCAGCCCUGCCACGAGGUGGCAGAUGCUCAGGGGUGAGUUGAUCAGUCAAUACGUGGCAUUUCUGCCCAGCAUUAAGAUUAAGGGGCUCGACUUGUGCCAUCACACAUGUCUUGGGGGUGGCAGGGUGCUCCCCAGACCCGCACCGAGCUGUGUCCCACUGCUCUGGGGUUGGAUGCUUAGGAGUGGAACCCCCUGCUUCCAACCCCCUUCCUGGAGAGGCAAGGUGAACAUCCUGGCAGAUUGUGACCUCCCUGUCAAAGCACAGAUUACAUUUGUAAUGUGCCUGUCUUAAAAAAAUAACUCACUAGAGUAGGUUAAAUAUCCAGCUCAGCACACUGCCUGUUGUCUGUUGGAGCAAUUAAUCUAUAACAAAACAAGCUGCACAUUUCUAGAGCAUGGCCUGUUAGGUCUUUUUUAGCAUCCAUGUGUUUUUUCCAAGGGAAGGGGCUUGCACACACCCCAUUUGCAAAGUACAGCUGCUCUGUCAAGGAAUUGGUGCCAGCCUGAGCUUCGUUCAGCCCAGGGCCCAGCUCUGCCAUCUCUGCACCCCUGCCACACUUUCACCUUCCCUUAAAAUCAAUCCCACAGAGCAACAAGGCCACAGGGAGCAACAGCAGAGCCAAACCAGAGCCACUCAGAUCUCAUACCAAAGGGACACAGUUGGAGGUGGUGGCAGAGUGCUGAGGAAUGGGGAGCAGGGGGACAAUCCUCAGCUCUCCAUCUGUGCCCAUCUAGUAAGUCCAGCAUCCAGUGCUGACCACAGGGAGACUGCCCUGGAUGAAUGGCAACAAUCUUCACUUCUCUGUCCAGUGUCUGAAGGGAUACUGUAUUUGUAUUUGUGUAUUUGUGUAGCUCAGCUUCAUGUAAAUGUGGGGAAAAGAGAGGAAAAUGGGGAAAAAAGUGGGGAGGAGAGGUAACUACCGGUUACUGAUACUGCUGCUGGUGGCCAGGGCAGAUCUCACUGACCCGUGAUGUGAGGGCUGGAGAUCCUCGCACAGCCUGGCUGCUGCCCUCGCCUCUUGGACACAAUUCAAGUGUGGGCCCUGCUGCCUGGCUUGCAGGAGAUGAGCUUGGUUUUCAGAGCUGACGUGCAGAAACCAGAGAAGUUUCCAUGAAGCCCUUCACACUGACAGUGUUGGGUGAAGCCCUGGCUCUUGUUACAACUCCUGGGGUUUUGCAGUGGCAAAACCAUGGUGUGUUAAUGCUCACAAACAGACACCAGAACAACAGCUUGUGUGGGCAGAGGGAUAGGAUGUUCCAUCUUGAACCAGCUCAGCUCCCUCCUAGGCACCAGCACCAGUCCUGCCCUCAGGAAGGAAUUAUGUCCCAGCCAGCACAGUCAGGCCAUGGUAUUGCUGGACAUGAGCAGCUCACAAAGCCAGUAACUUCUCCUGGCUGUCAGGUUUUGUCUGAUUGUGGCACAGCAGAAAGGAAGAGCCAAGGAGAAGAGAGGAAAGGGGAAAAAAAGGAAAAAAGAGAAAAAGAAAAUAGAGAGAAGAGGAGAAAAAAAGGACAAAGAGAAAAAACAAAAGAUGCAAAGGAAAGCAAUGUCAAGGGGCAGCACUGCUGCAUGAUCAGGAAAAGGCUGGAAAAAGUCUUGGGGGGCUCCCAUCCCCUGAGAAGGACAGCUGGGCAUGCUGCCCAUGUCCCAUUGCUGCAGCUGCAUCUCCCAUUAUGCUCAUUGCACCAAAAUAAGUUUUCCUUUCCAGGAGCCUGAGCAUUGAGCAGGCCCAGCACAGUGCUCAGCAGUGCAUGUCCCUGCACUGGGGCUGGCUUCCAGCAGGAGCUCCCAACUCCAUCGCCUGCUGCUCUGGGUAAUGCCUGGCAGCCAGGGAGCUGUGCCCAGGCACUGCUGGUCACAGGCAAAGCAACCCCUGGGCUCUGUCAGCUGGACACAGCUCCAACACCUCACCUGUGUGUGCAGGCUGUGUCCCACCUCGUCAUUCUUUUGCAUCCGUAGUGCAAAUGGGAAAAGCAAAGAUUGCAAACACUCCCCCCACCCUCUGGCAUAGCUGCAAAUGUUUCAUCAUGCAAAAGUCUGUGUGAUGGUCACUGCUGUACUGAUUUGACUGGCCCUGGGGGCUGGGUGUCUGCUCGCCAGGCCAGCUGCUGGAUUUCGGGGAAACCAAGGGGUGAGGCAGGUAUCUUUAAUGCAGGUUUGUGGCCUGAUGUGACCAGACACAGAGCAGCAGACCAGGACCAUGAGUGCUUGGCCACCACCCUGUGCUGUGCUGGGCAGGAGCAAAAGCCCUUGAGCAGGAGAACCUGCUGCUGCCAAGAUGAGACGUGAGUGAGACAUCCACACCCAGAGUCCCGAGUGGCAAAAUGAGUCACUGCCCUGUGCUGACAGCAUCGAGCGCCAGGACACGCUGGCUCCACGCCCCCGUGGGUCUGCUCAGUACAGGAUGGGCGGCUGAGCAAGGUGGGGACUCUUCUCUUGGCCACACUGCUCAGGAUUUCAGCCAGCAGGACCCAUGCUGUGGGGUGAAUUAUGAUGCCAGCCCCAUGUCUGCCCUGCUCACUUAGCCUUUGGAUAACAAAGUGCUUUCUGGAGCACAGAAAGCACUGCCCACCACCCUGAGCUCCCCACUCCCUGUCUGCCCCCUGGCACCCUCUUCCAGCUUGGCAAGGACACUGAGCUGCAUGGCACAGCCCUACGGACCAGGAACCACCAAGGCAAAUCCCCAGGUGGGGCUCAGCCUCAGCAUCCCCUCCAUGAGCAGUCAAGACACUGCUGAGCAUCAGGACAGGCCCCCACCGACCCCACAGCGUCCUCCAGCCAAGCCCCAUGGGAGCUGCGUCUCUCCAGCCAGGGCCUCAGUGUCUAAAUAUCACCGUGGGCCGCAGGGAGCCUCUAGAGCUCCGGUGGCAGGAGGAGAUUUAGCAGCCCAUUGCCUCGGUAACACCCCCUGCUCGAGCUCGGCGUGCCCGAGGAUGCUGCAGCACUUUGUGAGCAAUGGGUUUGCAUUUGCACGGUGCCUUUUGCCAGAGGGAUCUCUGUUAAUGCUGCAAAUGUCACAUACUUGUGUGGAGGCUACACACAUCAGUCACAUCCCCCACCUCCACAACACAUCAGGUCCUCUGAGACAGAAUCACCCGGGGAAUGGUGGAGAGGAGGCAGAUGCAACUACCCCAGCUGGGGUUUAGUCAAUACCUGGGCAAAACCUCAGCUCUUGUGAAGCUGCCCAGAAAGUUUUGACUGUCACACAUCUUCAGGACAUUCCCUUCUGGUCUGGAACUAAUCAGACAGGACAAGGUAUUGCAUUUGUCUCCAGAACAGCAGAGAUUACUCUUAAAUCUUCAGGAAUUACCAAAUUUGAGUUGACGUUGGGAUGUAUUUCUAUGCAGAUGAGCCUUUGAAUGAUCUUCACUAAGUAAAAUCUUCAGGCAAUCAGGUUAGCAUAGACUAAACUGCUACCAGGAUCACAGAGCACCUCAGCUCAAAUCUUAUUCAGCAAUACUCCAGAAGUGAAUGAGCCAAACCCUGAGAACAGCUCAGCCUCUGCUAGAGGAGAAACAGUUAAUGCUCAUCAGUGCCAUGGCUCAGCAGAGCUGCUUCACAGCCAGGAACUACUUUGUCCAGCCUCAGUUAAUCCACAGCUGCUGUGCCUGCUGGAGGUGAGUGCCAGCAGCAGCACAGGUGCUCCCUCCCUGCUCGGACCCAUCUGGGGCAGAGCCAAGGGCAGGGAGCAGAGGAAGAGACAAAAGUGGAAAGAAUCUCACAUGGGCAGUGACCCAGCUGGAGUCCUGUGCAGAGGAUAAGCUCAGCUCUAGCUGUGGCUGUUUUCCAGUUCAGGCUACCUGGACUCUGGCAGUACAGACCUGCUGUCCCCAGUCAGAGCUGCAGCACUUGGGGCAUGGGGGAGAACCCCAAACUACACUGCCCAGUUACUGAAAUUUUACAGGGACAAAAAGGCAUCUCAUAGAAGAUUCUCAAGCUUUAGAUGAGGCAUCUGCCCAUCCUUGUCUAUCUGGAAGUCAGAUAUCCUGGUGUUUUCCAGCUGGUAAGACAGAACACUGGAGUUCACAUUGCCAAAAUUGUUCUGGUAACCCAGCUGCUGACAGUUGGUGUUUUUGUAGUCCCUCUGAUACACUAAAAUGUAAUGGGAUGUUACUAUGAACAUCUCAAAUCCCAAAGGUACUUCUUAUUUGGAUCUUUAUUACUUCAAUUACAUCCUCUCAAAACAUAGGUUUUUGUACAAGGAAGACCAUACACCACAUAAAAUGCUAUUUUAUCCCUAGGGUUUGAGUUUUUUUUCAGAUCUGCAAAGAUCCUUAUUUCAUGCCCCUAAGACAGCACUUGAAUAAGGGUGGCUGGCUAUCUUCCAUUUUCUCAAGAUGGAAAUACUAUGUGUGAUUUGCAUUUAUCUCUUUGUGAGAUGAAAUGAUGGAUUAUUGAAGACGGCGCAUAAGUGUGCACUGAAUGACUUCAUUCUGAGCCUCAGGCAGUCCAGAGGGAUCACAUCACUGACAAGACCAAUAACCUGGUCAGAGAAGCUACAGGAGCUCCUCCCAGCCAAAGCAGAAUGAACAGAGGGAGUGCUCAGAGUGCUCCUCGGGUCUGCAGCUGAUCCAACUGACACAACAAAAAGCACACCCACACUGCAGUUCCUCUCAGCAUUCAUUUCAGGGCUUGUCCAGACUGACUCUAACUAUGCAGAGGUCCCACAAAAAAAUUGGCUUAAAAUAGGCAAAAGCCCUAAGAAUAGCAACACAAAUUUCUGUGUUUUGGAAAGAUUUCUGAAAGGAAAAACCCCAAAUGGUUUGUGGCAGUCCUAAAACCACAUAAAAAUCAGAUUCAACCCAUUUAUAGGUUUUUAAGAGCAACUAAGAGCACUGUCUUCUCUCUCUGGCCAUACCAGAAGAUAAAGCCUGAGAACUCAAUUAGCAAGAAAAGAUAGCACAGAACCAACAGGUAACCCAACAAAACAAUUGAAAGCUUUUAUUGUGAUACCUUGAAUAGAUACAGUAUAGUGAAACAACAAAUGAUGUACAGUAUUGCAAGGACAAAACAGCAACACAGCCAUGUCACCUGUAAAAGAAAGCGUUUUUAAAGAGUUUAAGAAACAAUGAGGCACAACUCAACUGCCAUUUAUGACUCAUGCUUUAGACCUUAAACCACUUGUAACAGUCCUUUUAAAAGAAACCUCUGAAGCAUCUGUUCCUUUUCCAGUAAGUGUUUAUACUGCUGGUUGGCUUAACAUGAGUCUCAGUGAAGUCCAAUGAAGUGUCCAAGAAGUUUAACAAUAAUUUGACAGCUUCUUCCUCUCAUGGCCAAUAUCCAAGGCUGGAGAUGAGUGAAGUUUGGUCUGUGAGUCUGGAGGUCACUGCUGCUGCAAUCUGGCUGCUGAGAUGAGCGGGCAGGAGGAGCCCUACGAGCGGCUUGGAGGGAAGUGCAUGGCCAGCAAGCCUGGCCCCCAGCCUUGGGGACACCAGCAGGAAAUACAGAUGGCCUUCGCUUAUGGGUCCAGUGGGGACUCGGUCAGAACCUCUGAGGCCAGUUUUUUACUCAAAGAAACGUCACAACCCAUACUCCUCUCCUCUCCCAAGGACUGCAAGCACAAAGGCACACCACCCACACUGGUCACUCUGCUGGGCCUUGCUACUGGGACGUUAAGAUGGAGCCAUAACAAUCUUCCUUCACACAGUUUGCCAUUGUACAGCUUACAACCAACAAGGGAAAUUCAGAUCCUGGCCCUUUUAACUGGCAGAUAAAAUUAAGAUUACCAGGCCACUAAAAGCAUACAGCAGGAGUGGUUAGGCUGAGCAAUCCCUCACCAAAUUCUGCAGCUGAUUUCACAGCAAGUUUGCAAUGUGACAGGAUUUUUAUACAUGGCAGCACUGCCUUUUAGUAAUCAAAAAAGUACUUAAAGUAACCGGCCAAAGAAAAACUCUAGGGUUUGGAGGCAGACUCAGUCCUGGAAAACCAUUGUUACAACCAUUAUUUUGGACCUAGACAGAGAAUGUGUGGUCAGAUUACUAAAGUCACACCAAAUUAUGAUUAAUUACUUUAGGACAGGCAUGGCGCUUUAGAGGUUCAGUGAAAAAAUCUUUCAAUACAUGUACAUUUUUGCUAGCAAAUUCCUAUGCAUCCCAAUGAACAUUUCUUCUAAGCCAGCUCAUAGUCAGUUCAUUUGGUCCAAGAAAGAGCCAGCAAGAAACAAAGGUUCACAAAAGCUUUUUGUUACAAUUUAUAAAAAACAAAAUACAAAAUAAAUGUUAAGACCAAAAAUAACCAGUACAAGUAACAAAAGUGCUCAAGUUGGAGGGGAAGUAAACUUGCCCAGAGCAAACACAUACAAACUUUAAAUAUAAUCUUUAAUAUAUUACAAAAAUUGGUUAGAGGGAAAAUGCUUUAGUAAAAUUUUUUUUCAAGUAAGUUUAUUUUUCUUUCAAAUGACUGCUGGAGGGUUCAGUGACCAGACUGACCCCUUCACAUCAGCCAGCAGUCAUUGCUAUCUGGAUUCAACUUUCACCAAAACCAAUAACAAGAAUUUUCUGUAUCUUUAUGAGGGGAGAAAAUAACCAUUGAUGCUGCCAAACAACAUGGGAAGAAAAUUCACAUAUUCCCUCAAAAGAAUAAGCCUCAAGAAUUGUUACAUGGCAGCAUAAAAUAGUGAUUCUGGACUACUUCUACUCUUUACUCCUUCUAAGUAUCCACUUUUAUUAAAAGACCAAAAAGAAUAUUGCUUUGUUUGGUUCUCUUAAAAGCCAUAAACAUCACAUAUAGGUCAUUAACUCUUUAUGCCAGUAGUCUGAAGCUCUAUGUGCCAAGCACUUGAAGUCCCAACCUUUGGCAUCAAAGUUAAUUAAGGUUUUGGUGAAAAUGUCCAGUUUGAAAUAUAAAUAAUGCACUGAAGAAAGAGGUUGAAUUUCUACGAAUAAGACUGUGUUGCAGACAGCAUUAGCUUACUAACAAGAGCUAGCCAAACCCCCAAUUUUGGAGAGAAAAAUCUUUAAUACUUUACAUAUUUUCUUUAAUUUCAACUCUCUCUGGAAAAGCAGCCAUUACUUUUGCCUUCAGUCCAGUGUACUGCUUCAGCAAGUCUGCAGCCAGGAAAUAAGAAAAGCCCAAAGCUACACAAACCUCACACAAGCUGCUCACAAGUAUCAACACUGCAACAGGACUUGGAAGCCAACACAAACUUUUUGCUGAUAGAAGUUUUAAUGCCUUCCUUGUUGGCAACAUACAUUGCAAUGGUGGAAAACAAAAUCCCAAGAAUUCCAGGUCAAAAAGAGCACGAGACAGGCAACAUCCAAGCCCAUCUUGCACCAAUGGCAUUGUUAAAAAUGAGACCUGAUGUGAACACGAAGCAGCAAUGUGCAAGCCACAAAAUCCAGGUUGAAUGUAACUGUACCACCUCAGGCCUCUGGACUGAAACCCAACAGCUUGAACUACUUCCCUAAUUCUUACAUUUUUAAUUCAUGGGUAUCAAUCAUGACAACAACUGGCAGGCAGGUUAGCCAGCCUGCAUCACAGAGAAUGUGUACACCUGGGAGAAUGCUCCUCUCACUCCUCCCCACAAAAACACUGGAAAGCUGGUUUUAAAGAUUUGUAUUGCCCCUACCCAUUGGCGUAAUUUUUCAUGUCUGACAAUUUCUAAAGUGCAGCAGAGUUCAGAAAGCCUAUGAGAGAUUCCCAAAAACAGAACAGCAGCAGCAGCACCUGUGAUUAAUUUCACAGGUGCCAUAUUAAAAUUGUUAUUGAGAGAAAGGGAUUUCAUAUUGCAAGGCUUCUGUAUUGUUCGGUUAUAGGACUUAUGUAGUGUUAAAGGGUUUUUUUUCCAAACAGUUUGUCCUCAAGCAGUAAAAAGAUUUAACAUACAAAAAGUCUGUAGAGACUAUUUAAUUUGAAAAUCAAGUUAGCAAAUUUAUGUCGAGCGUUUCUUUCACAGUUGCUCAGUUUGCAUACACAGAUACCAACAGCUCAUAUUGUGCAUAUACUUUCCAGAAGUUUCUCUCAUUAACUGAUUCCAUUAAAGAAACAGCAUGAGAACAAAAGAGAAGGUGAGUUUCAUAUAAAUUUUUAUUAUAAAAAGAUACUUGGGGAUGAUUUAGCCAGCAAACCGGGAAA